GAUGAACGCUAGCUACAGGCUUAACACAUGCAAGUCGAGGGGUAACGAGAGGAAAGCUUGCUUUCCUUGUCGACGACCGGCGGACGGGUGAGUAACGCGUAUCCAACCUGCCCCCAACUAGGGAAUAACCUUGCGAAAGUAAGAUUAAUACCCUAUGCUUUUCUUCGAUGACAUCAGUUUAGGAAUAAAGAUUUAUCGGUUAUAGAUGGGGAUGCGUCUGAUUAGCUUGUUGGCGGGGUAACGGCCCACCAAGGCAACGAUCAGUAGGGGUUCUGAGAGGAAGGUCCCCCACAUUGGAACUGAGACACGGUCCAAACUCCUACGGGAGGCAGCAGUGAGGAAUAUUGGUCAAUGGGCGGAAGCCUGAACCAGCCAAGUAGCGUGCAGGAUGACGGCCCUAUGGGUUGCAAACUGCUUUUAUACAGGAAUAAAGUUAGCCACGUGUGGUUAUUUGUAGGUACUGUAUGAAUAAGGACCGGCUAAUUCCGUGCCAGCCGCCGCCGUAA
rnacentral:rRNA from 1 species